rnacentral:rRNA from 1 species
UACAGAGGUCUCGAGCGUUUGUUCGGAUUCAUUGGGCGUAAAGGGUGCGUAGGUGGCACCGUAAGUCGGGUGUGAAAUCCUGAGGCUUAACCUCGGAACUGCAUUCGAUACUGCGGUGCUUGAGGACUGGAGAGGAGACUGGAAUUCAUGGUGUAGCAGUGAAAUGCGUAGAGAUCAUGAGGAAGACCAGUGGCGAAGGCGGGUCUCUGGACAGUUACUGACACUGAGGCACGAAGGCCAGGGGAGCAAACGGG